rnacentral:rRNA from 1 species
GACGUAGGGGGCCAGCGUUGCUCGGAAUUACUGGGCGUAAAGGGUUCGUAGGCGGUGUGGCAAGUCGGAAGUGAAAUCUCCAGGCUUAACUUGGAGGCUGCUCCCGAAACUGCCAUGCUAGAGUGCGGGAGAGGCGAGUGGAAUUGCAGGUGUAGCGGUGAAAUGCGUAGAUAUCUGCAGGAACACCCGUGGCGAAGGCGGCUUACUGGUCCGGUUCUGACGCUGAGGCGCGAAAGCGUGGGGAGCAAACAGG